UUAUUGCUGCAGCAAAUAUCAUGUCAUAGCAUAAGCAGACUUGGAAAAAGAUAUAAACUUCAAGUAGUUAUGCUAAGCUCUUCUCACAUUAGUCAAAGGCCACAACCCUAUGGUGAAUCUAGCAAUGAAGAGUUUGAAUCUGCCUAGCACACAGGUAAGUGGAAACGAGAGGAAUGCUAGAGAAUGAGGACAUGGAGUCCAUGGCAAAUGGCCAAGGGGAAAUCACGAGAUCAAACAAGUUAUUAUAUCAGUUUUGACAGAUUUCUUUUUUGAUUAAGACUAAACAUGUUUUAGGCUUCUUUAUCUUUGCUUCUCAUUAGUUUUCGUUAUAUUUUUAAAUAUCAUUAUGCUAUAAUAAUACAGCGUAUUUCUUUAUAGAAUUUCAUACUUUUCUUUCAUUAUAUAUGAACAAUAAAAACAGAUUCUUUGAAGGAGAAUUAUGGGCUGACCAUCCUCAUGAGUGAGUAUCCCCUUGAGCAGAAUAGGUAAAUUUGUAAUCGACUUUAGCCAAGCUAUAUCCUGCAUUUUUGGUAAGCAGCGCAAAAUAGUUAUAAAGAAAUUUGAUGGCACAUAUACAUGCUGUUUUUGUGAUAUUUCCCCUGUGAUUGGGCAAAGUUUAUUCAAACACCUAACCUCUUGAAUGAAUGUUGUUCAAUCAAAAAGAAGUUUGAAGGUAAAUCAUGUUUGAGAAUGACUUGAAUCAGAAAUUUCUCUUCUUUUUAUUAGUUAAAUCAGUUUUUUCCCUUUUAAUCUUAGUUGAAUCAGAAAUUCCCCUUGUGCCAUUGUAUUUAGAUGAUCAAGUAUACAUUGUGAUUUUAUACCUUCCAACUGAGGGAACUGUCAAGAGUUGUCGAAGCAUAGGCUUCAAGACCCGAACCACUGUCCUGCAAACAAUAGAUGAUUGAAUUCAUAGAAAAAGUUGCUGUUAGAUGCUGUUCUUUGUAAACUAAACGGAAAAAUGAGUUGAAAGAAAAAUGAGAUCAAGAACAGUUCAUAUGAGUUUUAUCCUUUCUUGAUGUCAAAACAGUUCUGUAGGAUUAUGCAGUGUAUAUGAGCUUAUGUACAGUUGAAUAUUUUCUGUGCUGUGGAUAAAGCUUUGGGUUCUUAACAAAAACAUGCUUAAUUUGAUUGGCAAUAAGUCUUACUUCCAACAUAUGAGUAAAACAGCGCCAUAAGAGAUGAGAAAACCUUUUUAAAUACACUUACAGGGACAACUGUGGUGGAGAUAAGCCCUUCAAAAUUCUUCAAUGGAGGUGAAAUAAAUCUGCAAUUUUGAAGAUAUAUGAUGUUCAUAUGGAAGGACAAGAAAAGCAAGUUUAUGGAUUCAUAGAUAUGGAGAUCGAGACAAAAAGGAUGAAGAGAAUACAUAGAUCUGAAAGAAGCGAACAGCAUUGCUGCUAGAGGCGACUUCCUCUAUCGUGCUGGAUGCUGAGAAUGACAGUCCCUAUCACAAUCAAGAAUUCAAGAGUGACUUUAACAUUAACAUCAGUUUUAAGCGCACCGGCAGCCUAAAAGGACACUACACCGGAAGAACUUUAGUACCAUUAUGACGUUACUUGCAGCUGCUGCUCUCGCUGUUGCAACUUCCCCUGGAAAAAGAUUUCACCGUCUUCUUGAGUCAGAGCAACACGCCAACUUCAACUAAACUAAGCUAAUCGAGUAAGAAGCAUACCAUCAGGAUGUGCGAGUUUAUGCAUGGCGGUUGGGCCAACCAUAAUGGGAGCCGAUGUCUUGUACCCCAAAAUUGUGGUUGACAUAUCAAUUCUGCUCACAUCAAUAAGAACUCUCGGCCGAAUACUGAAACCGGUGGGGAAGUUGAUGUUCAGAUACAUGUUGAGCAUAGAAUAUAUAAACAUAAAUGUGCAAUCCAACUAUCAGCUUAAGCUUUUAGUUGAGAUGGAGCACAUGUUUCAAUUAUACAGACUCUGAUGAAAGCAAACUAACUAUUAGCUUAAGUUUUUGGUUGAGAUGGAGCACAUGUUUCAAUUA